GCGAAGCCCCAAUAUAUGUCUAGUUUAUUUACGACGAGAGUAAUGAAGACGUUAAUGUGAAUCAUGUGAAUCCCAUUGCAGCACAAUGCGAAAUGAAUACACUUUUAUUGAUUUAUCAUACAUUCAGUCACUUAUUUGGAGUUGGCAUACUAUUUAAGACAUCUGUGCUCGACAUAAAUAGGACAUAACCGAAGGUAUUCAAUUCACCGUCAACAUAAACGACGAAGCAAUUUUGAAGAGUUGAAACCGAAAUCUGUUGACUACCCGCUGUGAAGCAGUUAAUACAACAAAAACAUUUCACUUGGCGGAAUUUUUUUUAUCUCUACUCGUCGGCAAAUAAAUACACUGCACUUGAGGACCAAAACAUGCAGGGUGGCUGUACCAUUGGUUGAAUAUAAUCAAUUCAACAAGAACAUGGAAAUGCGAAUGUUAGCUUGAACCCUCCUUCAUUGUAAUAAAUGACAAAAUGUCACACGAAGUGCAAAUUACAAUGAAGGAUGGUGUAGGAUAAAAGAGGAUGAAGGAGGUAUCAUAAAGAAGGAGGUGUCAUAAAGAACAAGAUCUGGGAAGUGGCAAAUUGCAUGAUGCAUCCCAUUGAUAAAGCUAAGCUGAACCCAAACAGCCCAAAUGC